CAAUAGGGAAUCUUCCACAAUGGACGAAAGUCUGAUGGAGCAACGCCGCGUGAGUGAAGAAGGGUUUCGGCUCGUAAACUCUGUUGUUAAAGAAGAACAUAUCUGAGAGUAACUGUUCAGGUAUUGACGGUAUUUAACCAGAAAGCCACGGCUAACUACGUGUCAG
rnacentral:rRNA from 1 species